ensembl:lncRNA
AUGUCAGAUUGUAUGCUGCAGCAGGAGUCUGAUUCUAGCCUACACUGUUCCAGUUGGGAGCCAAGUGGCCCUCGGAGGCAGCGAUGGAAGGAGCAAUCUCUCCGGGUGGGGGCGAGACAGAGCCUGAACUAUAGGGGCCGACUUCUCCAAGAGGCUUUCGCCUUGCUCUGGGGCCUCAGGAAUGCCCCUUUCCCUCCCCUGCCCUCUGCUGCCCCGAGGAUCAAAGCUUGCCGGCUGCACAACCCGACUGACAGCGACUUUUCCCCUGGAUCCCACUGGCUCAAGUCUCACUGAGAUCCGGUUUCCACUUUCAGUAUCCCCCACCUUCCUCCCAAGGGAACCGCUAAGGUUUAUCAGACACACAGGUGGAAAAUCAGGUCGCUUUGCCCUGCUCCACCUCGGAAUUCGCAGACGGCCGGAGACCCCUGGGAGCAGGCAGGGAGGCUCGCCAUCCUGAGCUCUCGGCGGCGCCCCGAGUGGAUUGAAACACUUCCCCAAAGCUGUCUGACCGCGGGGAGGGGUCUUCCAGGGGCAGAACCGGCUGGCUCGGAGGACACCCUCCACCCUGCUCCUGCACACCCAAGGGCUCCACGUGCUUUCGAGUUCCCACUCCUGAACGCCAGCCAGUCCGUUUGAGCCGAGCGCCCAAGGUCAAGGACACCCCACACACAAACGCCAGACACCGAAAACAUUGGAUCCUGCCCACCCUACCCCGGCCGGGCACUGAGGGACCGGGACGGGACGCUGGCCACCACCUGCAGGCCCCUCCCGCCGCCCGCGCGCGCUCGCUGGGCUCCGCACUUGUUGACUCACUCGCGGGCGCGCUCGCCCCAGCGCCGCCUGCCGUCCGCACCUCCCGCGCCCCUCCCCCACCGGCCGCCCGCGCCCCGCGCCACUCCGCGCCCGGGACACACCCGGAGCCGCGCGAGGUACACCCUCCGCUCCGGGCUGUGGGCUAAAUCCCGGAGUAAGAGCGCGCCGGCGGAGCGGACCGCGGCGCUGUCCCGGGACAGCUCUCCUGCAGCCCGGAGUCUCCGGCAACGGAGAGAGAUAGAGGGCGGACAAACCUAGGAGGGCAGCUGGGCGCCAGGCCCUGCUCGCGCCCCAACGGUGCUCAGGAACGGUCCCCACCCCAGGUUCCAACAUCUACAGGAUCUGAGCCCUAGCUCCCGGACCAUCGCGUGCACGCGCUCUGGCCCCCAUCUUGGAGCCAAACACACACACACCGGGGCCCCGAGAGACUGGGCCCCAGAAAGGGGGGUGGCCCCACUUUAGCUACACUUACCUGGGGCUUCGCCCCAGCCGGGCGCGCUCCCUGGCUGCCCUCUGGCGGCCACCUCAGGUACCGGGCGCGCGCCCCGCCCCGGUCCGCCCCUCUCUGACCUGGGACCUGUUCCUGCCAACUGAAGAGCUCUGGCCUGAGGCCAUCUGAUAGGCACCAUCCCCCUUUAGAUGGCUCUUCUUGGCACGGAGUGGAUCUCGAGGGCUCCUUUUAGUUACAGAUAACGAACAGCUCCGUCUUUUCUUUAAGGAGCUUCAAGCCUCUUCUUAGCAACCCCAGGAGGCAAAAGAUAGGGCUUCUGGAAACCUAACACUAGCUGGUGCUCAAUGUGUGUUUGUGGAAUAAAUGACUGGAGGAGGCGAAUGGAUGCUACA